rnacentral:rRNA from 1 species
UACAGAGGGUGCGAGCGUUGUUCGGAAUUACUGGGCGUAAAGCGCGCGAGGUGGUGUGUUAAGUCUGCCGGUCAAAUGCCGAGGCUCAACCUCGUUGCACGCCGGGGAUACUGGCACGCUAGAGACAAGUAGAGGCAAGCGGAAUUCCGGGUGUAGCGGUGGAAUGCGUAGAGAUCCGGAAGAACACCGGAGGCGAAGGCGGCCUACUGGGCCAGCACUGACGCUGAGGCGCGAAAGCUCGGGGAGCGAACGGG